GGGACUGAGCUUAAACCCUGCAGAUACUCAGUCUGCUCCAGGAUCCAGUCAGGACACGGCUGAUGCCGAUGAUGGUGUUUCCUACGUCUCCAUCAGCUUCACCAAGAAGUCCAAGAAUAAAUCCAGGUCCCGUGGUGAUGAUGAUGAAGGUGACACUGUGACCUACAGCACUGUGACCUACAGCACUGUGAAAGCUUCCUCUUCACCUGCUGGAGUUUCCACUGAUCCCAACAACCUCUACUCCACCAUCAAUUACCCAAGGAAAUAGGAUGUUAGUCAUGCUAAGUUUUUUAACUAGAUAGAUAGAUAGAUAGAUAGAUAGAUAGAUAGAUAGAUAGAUAGAUAGAUAGACAUUUUUCAGUUCACUUAUUAGUUUUGGUAACUCUGAGUCAAACAUUAAGUCUGAUUAUGUUUACUUGAGAAUACAAAGACUGCAGGAUUACUUUUUCAUACCACUGCAUGUGCUCAUAGAUUCAGUGGGUUACUUUGAAC
ensembl:lncRNA